GCGUGCGUGCGUGUGUGUGUGUGUGUGUGUGUGUGUGUGUGUGUGUGUGUGUGUUUCCCUCUGUAGCAGCGUUUCGUUUUCAAUACUAUCGUACGAUAUGAAACUUGUAGAAGGUGAAUGCUAAUUGCCAUUUCACAGAUACCCGCUUUUUCAUGUAAAACAGCAGAUUUACUGGUAAUGGCAUUGACUCGUGCGUCUGGCAGUGUGUCUUGCAUCUUCGGUGCAAUUACUGUGCAUUUGGGUAGUACUACUAGUUCUACCUAAAAAGCAAUGAGCAAAAUAGUAUAACGAGCGAUGACUACGACGUAAAGUUUUAUCGAUACCCAAUAUACUGACGGAUAAAAGUUUCCUACAAUCUUGUUGCUUCAGUAUGUUAGGCAUCAACAAAAUACACUCAAACACACACACACUAGGUAUAUAUGUAUACACAUCUAUAUCUAUAUUUGUACAUACAUACAUACAUACAUAUAUACAUAUAUAUAUUAUAAAAAGUAUUUGAAUCCCCUACCCCACUCUCUCUCUCUCACUCCCAUUCACUUUCUCUUUCUUUCACUCACUCUCAUUCUUACUCUCGCUGUACGACAUUUUAACCAUAUCUGUUUGUUGUCUGUUCGACCGUGUCUGUGGCCAGCCCAUCACAUCGUAUUUCAAGUAUUGAGUAUAAAUUACUAUAAAUUGGUGGUAUAAAUACUUAUGAUUAGUUUUAUUCAUAUUUCAUACUAUUACUUAUAUUUGACAAUGUUUACAAAUAUUCAAGAAAGUUUACUUGUAUCUAACCAGUUAUUUUAUAAAAUUGUCUUGUAUUUACCAUUUAUUCUAUUGACUUUCAUAUCACGAUUUUGCAUGCUUCUGAUAUCAUGCCCACGUAAGAGAUACUAUAGGAAAAAAUAUACAUACAGUAUAUGCACAGAGCUCGGGUCAAGGGAUGUUAGGGUUUUCGUAUGUGGAAUUAAUGAUUUUCUUCUCUUUCCGAAUCCCAUUUCUCGCGGCGAUCAUAACAGACCUUCGUUCCCAAAUAUAGGCUGAUAAAUAAAAUAUCAAGAAUUACAACAAAUGACCUCUAGAAUACAUAAAUAUAUGAUAUAUAUAUAAACACGUAGGGCGCGUAGAUGUCGUAUAGUUGCCAAGAGUCGGCGGAAGAUUACGCACAUGAAGGGUAUACUUCGCCUGUAAGCAGUAUUGGAGCUGCAUUUUCUUGCUCUAAGAAAGUAUUUUAAGUCUCCUUGUUGCGUCGUCUAUUUUUCCAGACAGGGGUUCUUAUUUUUUAAAAGGUCCAGCCUUCCCUCCCCAUCAUUCUCUCUCCUCCGCGCAGGACCAGAAUGGGCGACGACUGCGGCGGCGGCGGCGGCGGCUGCGACUCGGGAGGCGGCUGCGACUCGGGAGGAGGAUGGGAUUCUGGCGGAGGAGGAAACAGCUACGACUGGAGUAAUGAUGAUGGAGGAGGAGGAGGGGCCUGCGAGGACGCCUUCGUGUACGUGGAGACUUCGAGCGGUCAUCGAGUCAGGACACCGAAGUCGAGGUCAAGAGGCGGGGGCAGCGGUUCGGACGGCCAGAUAUUCCUGUAUGCAUUUAUGUUCUUCAUUAUCUUGGGGUUCAUUAUAUAUCUGAUGUUUAGGUUUGCCUUUUGAUUUUGGGAAAGUGGCUUGAUGUCUCUUAGUUUCAUUCCUCUCUGUCUGUCAGUCCAUGUGUCUAUGUAUCGGUCUAGAUAUCUUUAUGUCUGUCUGUCUCUCUAACCCUUAUAUUCUCUUAUUUGUCUGUAUCUGUCUGUCGGUCACUCUGUUUGCACAAUUAAUUCCUCCCUGCCCCCCCCUCUCUCUUUCUGUCUGUCUUGAAAUAUGUUAUUUUAAAAUGUACUGUAAGUCUU